GACGAACGCUGGCGGCGUGCUUAACACAUGCAAGUCGAGCGGUAAGGCCCUUUCGGGGGUACGACGAGCGGCGAACGGAUGAGUAACACGUGGGUGACCUGCCCUCAGCUCUGGGAUAAGCCUGGGAAACCGGGUCUAAUACUGGAUAUGACUCCAUGACGCAUGUUGUGGGGUGGAAAGCCUUGUGCGGCUGAGGAUGGGCCCGCGGCCUAUCAGCUUGUUGGUGGGGUGAUGGCCUACCAAGGCGACGACGGGUAGCCGGCCUGAGAGGGCGACCGGCCACACUGGGACUGAGACACGGCCCAGACUCCUACGGGAGGCAGCAGUGGGGAAGUCUUGCGCAAUGGGCGAAAGCCUGACGCAGCGACGCCCGUCGUA
rnacentral:rRNA from 1 species